AUUCCCCUGCACCAUUUUGUUGUAGCGAAAUCCGGUGUUGAGCCUUCAGCUUGUGUGGAACUUGCAAAACAUGUUAGUCUGAAUUGCCCGAACCUUCAAUUUUGUGGAUUAAUGACAAUUGAGAUGCCUGAUUAUACAUCAACACCUGAGAAUUUCAAGACAUUAGCAAAUUGCCGAAGUGAGGUCUGCAAGGCUCUUGGAAUACCAGAAGAACAAUGUGAACUAUCAAUGGGAAUGUCUAGUGGCUUUGAGCUUGCUGAAAGGAUUAUUUUCAUUUUACCAUCUAG